rnacentral:rRNA from 1 species
GACGGAAGGUGCAAGCGUUGCUCGGAAUCACUGGGCGUAAAGGGUGCGUAGGCGGCCGUGCAGGUCUGGCGUGAAAGCCCCGGGCUCAGCCCGGGAAGUGCGCUCGAAACUGCGCGGCUCGAGUGCCGGAGGGGAGAGUGGAAUUCCUGGUGUAGCGGUGAAAUGCGUAGAUAUCAGGAGGAAUACCGGUGGCGAAAGCGACUCUCUGGACGGCAACUGACGCUGAGGCACGAAAGCGUGGGGAGCAAACAGG